rnacentral:rRNA from 1 species
UACAGAGGGGGCAAGCGUUGUUCGGAAUUACUGGGCGUAAAGGGCGCGUAGGCGGCCUGUUAAGUCGGACGUGAAAUCCCUCGGCUCAACCGGGGAACUGCGUCUGAUACUGGCGGGCUUGAAUUCGGGAGAGGGAUGUGGAAUUCCAGGUGUAGCGGUGAAAUGCGUAGAUAUCUGGAGGAACACCAGUAGCGAAGGCGGCUCGCUGGGCCAUUCCUGACGCUGAGACGCGAAAGCUAGGGGAGCGAACAGG